UACGAAGGUGGCAAGCGUUGUUCGGAAUUAUUGGGCGUAAAGGGCGCGUAGGCGGGCGUGCAAGUCGAUUGUGAAAUCCCUGGGCUCAACCUGGGAAUUGCAGUCGAAACUGCAUGUCUUGAAUGCUCGAGAGGAUGGUGGAAUUCCAGGAGUAGUAGUGAAAUACGUAGAUAUCUGGAGGAACACCGGAGGCGAAAGCGGCCAUCUGGCGAGACAUUGACGCUAAUGCGCGAAAGCGUGGGGAUCAAACAGGAUUAGAUACCCUGGUAGUCCACGCCAUAAACGAUGAAUACUAGAUGUUCGGAGAGUUAACCCUCUGAGUAUCAAAGCUAACGCAUUAAGUAUUCCGCCUGGGAAGUACGGUCGCAAGAUUGAA
rnacentral:rRNA from 1 species